ACGCUCGACACCUACGGAGGCAGCAGUGGGGAAUAUUGCACAAUGGGGGAAACCCUGAUGCAGCGACGCCGCGUGGAGGAAGAAGGUCUUCGGAUUGUAAACUCCUGUUGUUGGGGAAAAAGAGGAUGGUACCCAACAAGGAAGUGACGGCUAACUACGUGCCUGCAGCCGCGGUAAUCUGAGCGGGCUGGCAAGGC
rnacentral:rRNA from 1 species